rnacentral:rRNA from 1 species
AUUGAACGCUGGCGGCAUGCUUUACACAUGCAAGUCGGACGAGUGGCAAACGGGUGAGUAACGCGUCGGAACGUACCGCGUAAUGGGGGAAAACUGUCAGAAAGGGCAGCUAAUACCGCAUAUUAUUCGAGCGGCCGAUGUCGGUUUAGCUGCUUGGCGGGGUAAAGCACGACCAAGGCGACGAUCAGUAGCGGGGCUGAGAGGAUGAUCGGCAACACUGGGAAUGAGACACGGCCCAGACUCCUACGGGAGGCAGCGGUGGGGAAUUGUGGACAAUGGGGGAAAGCCUGAUCCAGCCAUGCCGCGUGUCUGAAGAAGGCCUUCGGGUUGGAAGGGCCUUUUGUCAGGGAGGCGGUACCUGAAGAAUAAGCACCGGCUAACUACGUGCCAGCAGCCGCGGUAAUUC